rnacentral:piRNA from 1 species
UGGAUAGCAUUCUGAGAAGGAAUAGGGAA